GUGUCAUGAGACAGGCCGGAAAACAAUGGGAAGAGCAGCUAGAAAAAAGAUUAAAACUAACAGCAAACAAAAAUGUAAACCGCAACAGCAGCGGGAAGCCUGCCAAACUGUCAGUGGGGCCGCUGGACGAUCCAGGUGCCGAAGGAGCACUCAAGGAAGACAAGGCUGUGGUGGAGAAGCUCAAUGAAGUUUUUGCAAUGGGCCCCCGGGGCGAUCUUGGCGAUUACAGGCCGAAUGUCGUUGGCUGCUUAUUGUGUAUUUUGCUGCAGAAGAAUAGGAACUUCUAGUCCAAUCACAAAAAGUGAUCUGCCGUGGAAAGAUAUCAGAAAAAUUUCAAAAUUAACUGGAUCACUUAUUCUUGGAGGUUUCGUAUUUAUUACAUAUGAAGUUCUGGCCCUAAAGAAGUUACUGACACUUGAUACUCACGUUGUACAGCAAGAGAAACUGAAGUCCUAUAUUUAUGUACAUACAGUUUCUUUAGAUCCCAGUGAAUGUCAAGGAAUCCUAUACAAGGCAAGAAAAGAACUUCAUAAAGUAGUGAGGAAAAUACUAGAAACAGAAGCUAAAAUUCUCCGGAGACCUUUUGAUGAACAUUUUAGUACAUUUACAGAAGAUCAUGAACGUGCCUUGUGGGUCCUCUUGAAGAGAAGUCAAUCAGAAGACAGAACCAUUCGACUGCAGGCGGUGCAGCAGCUGGCAGAGAAUGGUCACUGGCAUGAUUAUCAAUAUAGGAUGGUUGCCCAAGCCUGUGAUCAGAAGACUCUGAUUGGUUUGGCCCGAUCCAAGGAUAUUGAUCUUCGUUUUUUUCUGCCACCACCUCACUUACCAAAAGUAAAAGAUGUCCCAAACGAUUUCUCAAUUUGGAAUGAAUUAGUCCAAAGGAAGAAAACAUUCUUUCUACGCCCGCAGAAGAAGCUACUGCAGUUAAAAGAUUAUGCUAUAGAAGAUGAGCUCCGAUUGUUAUUGGUAUCUUUACCUCAGACUGAUCUUGAGCAGUGUGUCCAGUACUUCACAUCUCUGGCUUUAAGAGAAAGCAGUCAGACUCUAGCUGCAAAAAGGGGGGGCUUGUGGUGUUUUGGAGGAAAUGGGCUUCCUUAUUGCGAGACUUUGAGUAAAGUCCCUUCAGAGACAGUAGAACUCUUCUGUUUACAAGCUUUAGUGCAACAUUCCAAGGUUUCUACUCAUUGUGAUAAAAUUGAAGCAAAUGGAGGCCUGCAGCUACUACAGAGAAUAUACCGGCUUCGUAACGAUUCUGCGAAAAUACAAAGGAACAUAAUUCGCAUCAUUGGCAAUAUGGCUUUGGAUGAACGUCUUCAUUCAUCCAUAGUACAUGCAGGUUGGGUUUCCAUACUAGCUGAAGCAAUGAAGUCUCCUCAUGUCAUUCAGUCUUCACAUGCAUCCAGAGCCCUGGCUAAUCUGGACAGAGAGACAGUGCAGGAAAAAUAUCCAGAUGGCGUAUAUGUUUUACAUCCACAGUACCGUAGCAGUCAGCCCAUUAAAGCAGACGUCCUUUUUAUUCAUGGUCUUUUGGGAGCAGCAUUUAAAACCUGGCGACAACAAGACAUUAAUCAGCCUUUGGAUGUAAAGGCUUCUGAAGGGGAAGAGAUUUACAGUGAAUGCUGGCCAAAGACAUGGCUAGCCUCAGACUGUCCUUCGCUUAGAAUUGUAUCUGUGGAGUAUGACACCCACCUGAGUGACUGGAAAACAAAGUGCCCUAUUGAGGACCACAGGAAAUCUAUUGCUUAUAGGAGCAAUGAGCUUCUUAACAAGCUUAGAGCUGCUGGUGUUGGAGACAGACCUCUGGUAUGGGUAUCACACAGCAUGGGGGGUCUUCUAGUUAAAAAGAUGUUGGUGGAUGCUUCCAAGAACCCAGAAAUGGAUAAAAUUGUAAACAACACCCGAGGAAUCGUAUUUUACAGUGUACCUCACCAUGGCUCCCAGCUGGCUGAAUACUCAAUGAACGCUAAAUAUCUUCUCUUUCCUUCUGUGGAGGUUAAGGAACUCAGCACAGAUUCUCCUGCCCUUAAAGAACUGAAUGAUGACUUUCUUUCAUUUGCCAAGGAUAAGAAAUUUCCAGUCUUGAGUUUUGCAGAAACCUUACCAACGCAUAUAGGUAGCAUGGUAAAACUUCAUGUGGUACCUGUGGACUCAGCAAAUUUAGGCAUAGGAGACCUAAUUCCAGUGGAGGUUAAUCAUCUGAAUAUUUGCAAGCCAAAGAAAAAAGAUACUUUCCUAUACCAAUGUACUGUAAAGUUUAUUCAAGAUGCUUUAGCAAGAGAACUGGGAAGUUGAGUCUUGACCAUCCUUGCUUGCUUCUCUCUCAGAGUGUAAUGCAACAGAGUCUUUCCACUGAAACUGUUGGCAGGCCUCCAGAACUACAGACACAAUAUUAAUAAUAAAAUCAGCUGUCCAAGUGGCUUUCAAUACAUCUUCUACUUGGAAAUCUACAUUGUCUAUAUCUGAAAUGCAUUCAAAAUAUAUACAAACUCAACCACAGACCCAGAAAUCUGGCAAUAAAAGUGACCAAUCUCAUGUGGCUGUGCACCUCCAGGAAGUUUGGGCUCUGUGCACUAUAGAGAAAGGAUCUCUACGGUUUCAAGGCUGGGUUUUUACUUCUGCUACUUUCUGAUCCCAAGCCGAAGGGAGGGCUGAGACCUAUACUGGACCUUCAUUCGCGCAACAAAUUCAUCAAGCAAGAUUCUGUGUGGUUAUCGUAGUGUUGAUCCUCCCCUCCCUAGAUCAUAAGGUUGGUUUGUUGCCCUUGAUUUUUUGGAUGCAUACUUCCAUGUGGUAGUGCUCCCCAGCCACAGGAAAUUCCUUAGUUUUGUCAUAGGGGGCUGCCAUUAUUAGUAUAUGGUUCUCCUCUUUGGCUGCUCAACAGCUCCUCAUGUGCUCACUAAAUGUGUGGCAGUGGUGGCAGCCUGUAUAAGGAAGAAUGGGGUCCAUGUUUUCCCUUACCUCGAUGACUGGCUUGUUCGGGGAUCAUCUGAGAACCCGGUUAGUUGCCACGUCAAGUUCAUCAUCCACCUUUUCAAUCAACCCGUUCUUUCUCCUUGAUUUGUUUUGCUAGAAUAGUAUAUGCCGUCACUGACUGUAUGAAGCCUGUUUGCUGGAGGGAUUCUCAUUUUAAUGCACAGGUCACCCCUCGCUUCCGCAGAAAAAAGAUAUAGUUAGUGCUGAAGGCCACUUAGUAAAGUGGAGUAAUUAAACAAGUUGUAGUUGACAUGUAUAAAUCCACUUCAACUGGCUUUCCUGCUAACUCUUUCAUUAACGUAAAUUAGCUGUCCCAGGGCUGUUCAAUUCUUUGUUGCACGGAAUGUUGGAUACGGUACUAAACGUAUUUUAUUUUUUACAGCCCUUAAUGAUUUAUGGGGAACUAUGUCCAUAAAUAGCCACUGUUGCUUUUCUUUUUUUAAAGGAGGCCAGGGGGUUGUGAUGGGCCAGGGAACUAACUAGCCAGCCUCUUUCAGAGUGGCUCACCUUUGUGGAACUGAGCACUUCAAAACUAUCUCUAGCCUCUCUACUACUAAAGAAAUGUGCAUGGAGCAGGAGAGCGAAGAGCUUAGAUCUACGGGCAGCAUUACUUUUAUACAGACUGUCUUUUUUUGCUUAGAAUUCAGCAGUAGAGAUGAGACGGCUUGAGCGAGGUUGGAUAGUAAUAGAACUGAACUUGGCCGAUGUCCCAAAUAACCUAGGCAACUGAGAAGAGAAUUAAGCCAAUUAAAGGUUUGUAGAAAAGACAUUUAAUUGACAUUAUUUACAAUUUAAGCACAAAAAAGGUCUAGUUUAAAUACAAGACCCUGGAUUUUCCCCAAUUGCUUAAAAAUGUUAGCAUCAUUUUAGUAAUUAUCUAUCCAAAAAGGGGCUUCAUUCCAUUUAUAAGUUAUUGAGCCUGAACUGAAACAUGCGUGUAAUAACUUUUAAUUGCCUGCUUUCCAUAGACCGUGUAAAUGCUUCACAAAUUUAGCACAGGUAAUGUGUAGCUAGCGCACACUAAAAAGCCUCAUUUGAAAUCAAGGCUAUCUUCCCUUUAGCUAAAUCUUGGGUUGAGAAGCAUAAAUGCUAAAGUGGUUGGCAAAUGCAGACGUGACUUUGCAAUGAUGACAUCAGUUGUAGCAUUUUGUGAGACCUGCAUGUUAACUGCACUGUAGUUCCACUAGAAACAUUGGUCCUGUAGCUUAUGAUGCCCUGCCAGAGCGCUACCUAAAUAUAAGGAGGAAAGUAAAGCAGCAGUUGCAGGACUAUUUAUUUGAAGAGUAUCCAGGGAAAGUCCCUGUUCAAGAUGCUUUCCCCAGACUAUUAUUUCUGAAACAUGGACCAUGAUAUUGUAUCUUUAGGCAUUAAACCCUUCAAGUGUUUGCAAAGACUUGUACAGAAUAAGCUAAAGUUGAGUGCAUUUUAGUUACCCUAAUCUCAGAUGCACUGUUGGUAUAGCUGCAGCCCAGUCAUACUGCUCUGUGCUGUUACACAGCAUCCAUCACUGUCAUACCAGUAUUUUCCUUCAGAGUUGAUCCUAACAAGCAGAGGACCAUGGCAAAUUCUGUAUUUAGUUUGACAAAACUCUUUCAUGCUCAUGGAAUUAGUUAGUUUUACAGCCUGUCUUUUAUAAAACAGUUGCAUAUAAGUAAUAGCAUUUUCUUAAAGGCUUUUUUGCUACCCCCAUCCUCUCCCUCCCACUGAAAUCUUGAUGUCCUUUAAUUCUACUCAUUGCUUCAGUAAUCUGCCAUUAUCUGGGGAGACAAGUCUGCACAGAACAUUCCACUUCUAAGUUUGCUCCUUGCCUUAUUUUCUGGUUUCCUCUCACUUCCCCGUUAAUAGCUCCCUUAAAUAAAAAGUUAACCGUCUCCCUUUACCAUUUUCUUCAUGGAAUAUAAUUCUUGACAAAUGGUACUGUCACACUGUUUCUCAGAUAUAGCUGUCCCCCUGCUGUAGGUGCUACAGGUUCAUUUCCAAAUGGCAUAUAGUGCUUUAAUUGCCUUACAUCUGCUAAACUGGUAACAAGUGUCCAGCACAGGUGAAUAAGGAAGGUGUGUGUGUGUGUGAGGUACACUCUCCAGGGGCCAGCACACACCUUUAUCAUCAGUGGGCAGAAAUUAGUAAACCAGCUUUCCACUCUAGGGCUAGAUUCUGCUACCCUUGCUCAUGCUGAGUCCUGCCGGACCAGUGUAGCAUUCAUGUAAGUGUAUAGACAGCCUUUGCUCAUCUGCAUUUAUUAUUUCAUUAGUAGCUAAGCAUGAACAUGUUAUUUCCUUGCAAAGAAACUGAGGGGAGCAAAGGUGAGAGUAGUGGUCAAACAUCGUGUGUACGUCCACAGGAGUCGAUCAUGACUAUACAUACAGUACACAGACAAUUGGAAUGUUUACUAGCAGGUUGCCUGCGCUGUCCCUUCCAAAGUUAUAGACAGUCGUCAUCCAUGUGCCUUUUAACGGGAUAGCAAGUCAUUUAGCAUUAGGUUGCGUUGACCAGAACAGAAUCAGUUAAAUCUGAACGUAAAGGAGAGGAUGCAUUGAAAGAAAACAUGAGUUUCUAGAAUAAUUUUUGUAAGUGUAUCGUUAUUAGUAUCACACACGCUGAUAAGGGGCCCAUCAUAAUAUCAGUGUGCAGUUGCAUGAUUGAGAUUAAAAACAAGCAUGUUCAACAAAAUAGAGAGCACCUAAUCCAUAACGUCCUCCAUCCCUCUUACUUAACAAUGGCCAAGGACUGAGGAAUUUAGACUCCAGGCUAAUACCAGGAGAUUACAGAACCUGCAGCUAGUUGUAAAUCAAAUGAAAGAGAUGCAGCAUAGGAGUUGUCUACAGCAUAUUUACCAGCAGAAUUAUAAUGGUGUAAUGAUACUGCUAAAGUUAUUCCAGGAUAAUUCCCCUUGGGAACACUAUUCCCUCAGAAUUAGUGUAGUAAUAUAAUUAUACUGCUGUAGUUCUGCUGGUAAAUUUUACCAUGUAGACAAGUCUUUAUUUUAAAUGUUAAAAACUGUUUGAAAUAUAAAUUAUACCUAUAACCUUUGUUCUUGUUUUCUUCAUACAUCAUUACAUACUUUUAAAGAAUACUCUGUACCUGAAAUAUCAUUUUACUUUUCAGCUGGAUUAGAAAAAGGGAAAAAAUUUAGACUAAAGAUUUUUUUUUCGCAAGUUGUACAGUACUGAUGUCUUGUAUUUUGCCCCCAGAUCAUACCAGAAUUUUUUUAAACACAAAAAUAAAAUGUGGCCUUGCCACACUUAUACAACUCUGUAUUCAAAGCAGAUUUUUAUCUUGUAUCGUAAUUAGAUUUCUAUAGGGGAAAAAAGAAAAAAUAAAGGAAAAAAAUAUCUCACGACUCUAAGUUAGCAUUUCUGUCCAUCCAGGUAUUUUUGUUUUCCUCUAAGACCAGCAGUUUGCUGACUCCCUCUGAUAAUGUACCAUUGUCUUCAUCAUCACUAAAUGUAACCCAGUGACUGAAAUCUUUUGGGCUGGGGAGUUUCAAAUUUCUCGGAGUGUGUGUUGGGCUAGUUGUUGCUGGUGUGGAAAAAGGAAAGGAAACAUCUGUGUCCAGGUCCAAGAGACUGACGCUCUCUGUUAGUGAAUUGGUGGCUAACAGCUGUGGCUGCUGGAUGUCUGGGGUAGGAGGGCCUUGAAGGUCAGCAAAAAAGUCCAAAGCAGUUGGUGUCAAGUGCUUAGUGCCACUGCUGUCUGGGCUGGCAGUGGAUGUUGGAGCUGAAAGAUCAGAGUCUCCGGGAGAAAGGGGGAGGAUGUCAGAAUCCUGUGUUGUAGGGUUGUACUCAGAAGGACUAUUGUUGUUGUUGGAAUUGAAUGUUAAGCCACUAAGAAGCAGACUGUUACUGCUCUGAAGCACCUGCUGGUGAAGGGCAGCAGGAGCAGACUUCUUCCUUCGUGGUGGAACCUUUGGGGCAAAGGAGUUCUGCAGGGCCACCGCACUUUCCUCUGAAAUGCCUGGGCUGGGCGGCUGCCUAUCGCUGCUGCUUCUUCUCUCAGGAGCUUUCCCGGGUGGCGUUGUUCUCGGCUUAGGAAUGGGGGUGAUCCUAUUGGGACUGGUAAUGGCUUUGGUUUCAAGGCAGGACUCGGACAAUCCAAUGUGAAAGCGGAUGGGCUGCUGGUCAAGCUGCUCUUCCAGACACACAGACAGAGAGAGGGAAACAAAAGGAAUACGAGUCAGAGCGGUGUUUUAGAUUCAGACUCGGCCGCUGCACUAGCUCUGCCCAUCCAGAUGGGAAAACGCUCAAACAAUAGGUGGGAUAAAGAGGGUGUGAAUUGUGUUGGGUGCAUUAUUGAAAGAAGUUGGUGGAAUCACUGAAUGAGAUGAGGAAGUGGAAAGUGAAGGCAUGAGAGUAACAGCUUUAAAUCAGCCCUGCCCUUCACUCCCUGUGUUAAAAA